CCUGGGCCAGGUGGUCUGAAGCCAGCCUGCUACCUUGCGAUUGGGAAACCAGUAGUUUGGGACAGGCUGACAGAUGAUGCUGAGAUGGGUAAACACUGCUGAUCGAAGCUAUACAGCAGUGCCCUCAAGUUUCAGAAGAACAGACGAUACCAGGAGCUGGCUCUCAAGGGGUUGAGAAAAGGAGGGAAGAGACAGAGGCCUGGCUCUCGGCGUGCUGGAGGUCUUACAGAAAGCGAACCCUUGAUCAAGCAUUUCAUGCGUGGCGAAGGGCUGACUCUCUGGAAAGGAGCCUCGCCAGGAACUGCAGCCACCCCCUGCCAGAGUGCACCUCACCUCUGCCAGGUGCUCAGCGAGACCUGGAUGCAGUAAGGAAGAUUUGCGCACAUUUCAGAGACAAUCCAGUACGAACUACAUGA
rnacentral:lncRNA from 1 species